rnacentral:rRNA from 1 species
UACGUAGGGUGCGAGCGUUACUCGGAAUUACUGGGCGUAAAGCGUGCGCAGGCGGUUCGUUGUGUCGGCGGUGAAAGCCCCGGGCUUAACCUGGGAAUGGCCGUUGAAACUGGCGAACUGGAGUGUGGCAGAGGGGGGUGGAAUUCCGCGUGUAGCAGUGAAAUGCGUAGAGAUGUGGAGGAACACCAGUGGCGAAGGCGACUCUUUGGUCUGUAACUGACGCUGAGGCGCGAAAGCGUGGGGAGCAAACAGG